GCCAGGUGUGGUAGCAAACACCUGUAAUCCUAGCAGCUUGGGAGGCUGAGGUAGGAGGAUGGAAAAUUCAAAGCCAGCCUCAA
rnacentral:sRNA from 1 species